CAGCGCAGCGUAAUAAUAGAAACUAACCAGGAUUCCCUUAGUAACGGCGAGUGAACUGGGAUGCCAAUAUAAAAUAUGCGCCUCGCGUGCAUAAAUUAGCCCGUCGAUACUAUCCUAGCGUAUGUACCGGUCUUCGGAUCGGUACUCAAAUACGCGGGAAUUGUAGCAUCGUAAUAAAAAAAAAUAUACAGCACGCACACACACACUGCCAACAUGCGUACCACUUGUAAACACACAGCGUCUCCGCGUUGGAAAGCAAGUCUAUAUCCUCUUUGGAUAUGCCAUAGAGUGUGACAGCCACGUUUCACCCUAAAGUACGCACACACACAUACACACGGCACGUGCGAGUGCAAUACGUAUAUAUUCUAUAACCUGAGU
rnacentral:rRNA from 1 species